AUGGCUACAUCAUGUUGAAACACCGGUUCCCAUACAAUCACCAAAGUUAAGCAACAUCAAGCCUGGUAAGUACCUAGAUGGGUGACCACUUGGGAUUACCAGAUGCUGUA